AGCGAACGCUGGCGGCAGGCCUAACACAUGCAAGUCGAGCGCCCCGCAAGGGGAGCGGCAGACGGGAGGGUAACACGUGGGAACGUACCCUUCAGUUCGGAACAACCCAGGGAAACUUGGGCUAAUACCGAAUACGUCCGUAAGGAGAAAGAUUUAUCGCUGAGGGAUCGGCCCGCGUCUGAUUAGCUAGUUGGUGAGGUAACGGCUCACCAAGGCGACGAUCAGUAGCUGGUCUGAGAGGAUGAUCAGCCUCACUGGGACUGAGACACGGCCCAGACUCCUACGGGAGGCAGCAGUGGGGAAUAUUGGACAAUGGGCGCAAGCCUGAUCCAGCCAUGCCGCGUGGAUGAUGAAGGCCCUAGGGUUGUAAAGUCCUUUCGGCGGGGAAGAUAAUGACGGUACCCGCAGAAGAAGCCCCGGCUAACUUCGUGCCAGCCGCCGCGGUAA
rnacentral:rRNA from 1 species